rnacentral:lncRNA from 1 species
GAUACAGCCUGCCCAUGGACACCAAGCUUUAGGAUGCUACAAGCAUCCCUGACUUGAAGGCUCUCUGUAGGCUGAGAACCAAUGGGGCUGAGAGUCUGGACUGAAAUAUUUCAUUCCGGAGACGAGCGAUACAUCGUGGACAAAGGAGGACCCGAGAGACAGCAGUCACUUUCUCUGCAUCCUGCUCUGCGAGCAUCUUUGCUCCACGAGCCAGAAAAUGUUUACUAUUUCUUGGUCUUGGAAGCCAUGGCUCUUUCAUUUGGUGUCGAACCUUGUGGUGGAGUGAGGCCUGUCUUCAUGAAGCACAACCCUGCCAUUUCCAGCAGACACAGACCUCCAUCGCCGUCUCCGACAACCAGCUGCACGUGCACGUUCGGGAAAGAGGAAACUUGAGGGCAAACAUCGCUGCUGAGGACAACAGGAGGUUCCUCUUGCCGAGUGUGUGGGGAUCACCAGUUGAUUGGAUGGAAAUCUGACUGCAGAGGAGAGGAAACAUGACUAGCAGCAGCAGCAACUUGGGGGCAACAACCCGCCAGGCCAUGCUCGAGUGUUGGUGACAUACCAGGCAGAAUGGCUGAGGCCCUGGGCUUCCUUCCCUAUUGGGGGAGCUCUCCUACGGUGGUGCUUUAGUGCGCACUGUGGAACAGGGUGUUUAUAGCAUUCUUUCAGAGGAAGACAUUUGGUGGACCUCGGUUCAGCAAGUUCUGGGCAGUUGAACUACUACAGUAAUUUCCUGGGCACUCCUGGUACUCGAAUACUGACCACAUGUAUAGGGAAAAGAAAUAAGGCUGUGUUCUGUAAGCAUUGAAUCAUGAAUAGAAAAUGUAAUGUCUUAAAUAAAAUUGUUUAAAUUCUGCACC